rnacentral:lncRNA from 1 species
ACACACCCUCGGAUUGACGUGCGCACGCGCACCGGUUACCUUCAGGAGCGCCGAAGAAGGAAAGAAGAACACAGAGCCCGAGGCAAAGCUUAAGUGCUUACGCUUUUGUCGGGAGGUACAGACCCAGCUCUGCGAGAGCCAGGGGAAAAGGAAGAGAGGCAGGGAAGGAAUGGCAGCAAGUACAAGGUGAUGAAUGACUGCACUGGCCAUUGCUUCAUGAAGAGCCACGAAAAAACAGAGCCGGUUUCUCAGCAGGUGGCUGGCUGCUCAGUCACAAAGGACCUCUUUGGACAGGCUUUAUGGAAAUACUGUGCCUAGGACAGUCGCUCAAAGGCAGGAGGGAGAGAAAAUGCAUCUGCAAGCUCACUUUGUCUUCUUUCUUCUGCUGGUCAAAAUUUGCUGGCUGGGGCAGUUAACGCCCUCACACAUCCGAGUUGUGUCACCUGGCCCCUUUGGUAGCCACUGGGGAAGCCAGAUCUAGGCAUGUGGCCUGAUGGCUCCUGCGGUGGAACCACAUGCUCACACUCAGUCAGUCACCACUGGGAUGCCCUGGGCAGGGCAGGCUGAGUGGCUGGGAGAUAGCUGAGCCUAAGAUAUCUAAGCAAGCACCUGUGAUGUAUGCACUGCAGUGUCCAAAUGUGAAAAAGCAAGAAAGGGAGAUAGAAGCAUAUUUUUUUCUGGAGAGAAGGAGGAAACCACCAGGAGAAUACAAACAGAAAAAAGACAUGCUCAUCAUGCCCUGCAAACUCCUAUGAACUGGAACUACAGCAGCUGUUCUGCCAGGGACAGGUUCUUCUCUAAAGUUCCAGCUCUCUGGAGGGAGAAAGCCCUGACUUUGGAUGGAGUUGAGCUCUGUCGCCCAGGCUGGAGUGCAGUGGCACCAUCUCAGCUGACUGUGACCUCCGCCUCCUGGGUUCAAGUGAUUCUCCUGCAUCAGCCUCCCGAGUAGCUGGGACUACAGGUGCACACCACCAUGCCCGGCUAAUUUUUGUAUUUUUAGUAGAGACGGGGUUUUGCCAUGAUGGCCAGGUUUGGUCUCAAACUCCUAACCUCAAGUGAUCCACCCUCCUCAGCCUCCCAAAGUGCUGGGAUUACAGGCGUGAGCCACUGCGCCCCGCCUACUUGAAUUUUUUUUUUUUUUUUUUUUUUUGAGACAGAGUUUUGCUCCUGUUGCCCAGGCUGGAGUGCAACGGCAUGAUCUCGACUCACUGCAACCUCUGCCUCCUGGGUUCAAGUGAUUCUCCUGCCUCAGCCUCCCAAAUAGCUGGGAUUACAGGUGCCCACCACUGUGCCUGGCUGAUUGUAUUUUUAGUAGAGAUGGGGUUUCAUCAUGUUGGUCAGGCUGGUCUUGAACUCCAGACCUCAGGUGAUCGGACUGCCUCGGCCUCCCAAAGUGCUGGGAUUACAGGCAUGACCCACUGUGCCCGGACCUGCUUGAAUUUUUAUGAUGAGCAUGUUGGCAGAUCACGACUGCCAGCUCCGUGACAGCAAGAACCUUGUAUGACUUUUUCAUGAUGGAUGUUCAUCUGUGCCAUCUGUAAAUAUUGAAUAAAUAUUUGUGGAAUACAUGAAUCUAAAAGUGAAUGGAAUGAUAAAGAGGGAAAGGGUCAUGACAUCUACUACAGCAUUUGGCACAGACCCAGCUGUCUGCAGUACUAUCAAGAGAUGACAUGGACUUCAAGGAUCAAACAGGGGAGAAAAAGGCUUAAAAGAAAAACAAGUCUCCAUCAAAGGUAAUAACCACAAUGAGAACUAUACAUAGCUAUGUGCUUAUAGGUCUUAGUUCACAUUCCCCUCAUUAAAAUUAUAGCUCAAGAAAUAAAGGGCUGUUUAAUGACUUGGGUAUAUAAAUAUACUUCAUUUGUAUAUUUUUUACUUGCUAAAAUCUAUCCAAAUUGGUAUUACCUCAAACCAUAAUCUUCUACUGUAUUUUAUAAUUUUACUUUAUUGCCAUGUAUUUUUCCCACUGAUGUUCACAAAUUCACAGGAAACAUCAGCCAUGUACUAAAUAAAAUAUGAAUUGAAUCG